AUUGAACGCUAGCGGGAUGCUUUACACAUGCAAGUCGAACGGCAGCGCGGACUUCGGUCUGGCGGCGAGUGGCGAACGGGUGAGUAAUGUAUCGGAACGUGCCCAGUAGCGGGGGAUAACUACGCGAAAGCGUAGCUAAUACCGCAUACGCCCUACGGGGGAAAGCAGGGGAUCGUAAAACCUUGCACUAUUGGAGCGGCCGAUAUCGGAUUAGCUAGUUGGUGAGGUAACGGCUCACCAAGGCGACGAUCCGUAGCUGGUUUGAGAGGACGACCAGCCACACUGGGACUGAGACACGGCCCAGACUCCUACGGGAGGCAGCAGUGGGGAAUUUUGGACAAUGGGGGCAACCCUGAUCCAGCCAUCCCGCGUGUGCGAUGAAGGCCUUCGGGUUGUAAAGCACUUUUGGCAGGAAAGAAACGUCGCGGGCUAAUACCCCGUGGAACUGACGGUACCUGCAGAAUAAGCACCGGCUAACUACGUG
rnacentral:rRNA from 1 species